UACGUAGGGGGCUAGCGUUGUCCGGAAUCAUUGGGCGUAAAGAGCGCGUAGGCGCCAGACAAGUCCGGUGUGAAAGUCACAGGCUCAACCUGUGAAUGCCGCUGGAAACUGUCUGGCUAGAGUCCGGAAGGGGCGAGUGGAAUUCCUGGUGUAGCGGUGAAAAUGCGCAGAUAUCAGGAGGAACACCGGUGGCGAAGGCGGGUCUCUGG
rnacentral:rRNA from 1 species